UACGUAGGGUGCGAGCGUUGUCCGGAAUUACUGGGCGUAAAGAGCUCGUAGGCGGUUUGUCACGUCGUCUGUGAAAUCCUCCAGCUUAACUGGGGGCGUGCAGGCGAUACGGGCAGACUUGAGUACUACAGGGGAGACUGGAAUUCCUGGUGUAGCGGUGAAAUGCGCAGAUAUCAGGAGGAACACCGGUGGCGAAGGCGGGUCUCUGGGUAGUAACUGACGCUGAGGAGCGAAAGCAUGGGUAGCGAACA
rnacentral:rRNA from 1 species